rnacentral:rRNA from 1 species
GAUGAACGCUGGCGGCGUGCCUAACACAUGCAAGUCGAGCGAACAGACGAGGAGCUUGCUCCUCUGACGUUAGCGGCGGACGGGUGAGUAACACGUGGAUAACCUACCUAUAAGACUGGGAUAACUUCGGGAAACCGGAGCUAAUACCGGAUAAUAUAUUGAACCGCAUGGUUCAAUAGUGAAAGACGGUUUUGCUGUCACUUAUAGAUGGAUCCGCGCCGCAUUAGCUAGUUGGUAAGGUAACGGCUUACCAAGGCAACGAUGCGUAGCCGACCUGAGAGGGGGAUCGGCCACACUGGAACUGAGACACGGUCCAGACUCCUACGGGAGGCAGCAGUAGGGAAUCUGCCGCAAUGGGCGAAAGCUUGACGGAGCAACGCCGCGUGAGUGAUGAAGGUCUUCGGAUCGUAAAACUCUGUUAUUAGGGAAGAACAAAUGUGUAAGUAACUAUGCACGUCUUGACGGUACCUAAUCAGAAAGCCACGGCUAACUACGUG